CAGGACGUAGCUUAACUAAAGCAUCUCGCUUACACCGAGAAUAUAUCUAUUAAAUUUAGGUCGCCCUGA
rnacentral:tRNA from 2 species